CAACAUUUUUUCGGUGAAUCUCCCUUCUUUCUCUCUCUUUCUUCACUAUUUAAAGGAUAUGAGUAGACGGCUAUCCACCUGGGCCUCCAAAAAGGUCAGAGGUUCGUCCUCCUCGGCACCACCGCUGCCACUGUCACCACCAUCCUCACCACCACAACUGGUUGAUGAAGCCCAAGACCCCGUUCAUGACCAACCACCUCCUACUGCCUCCCCUGUGCCACCCCAAGGGGACCCAUUUUAUAUGACUCGCGAGGAGUACUUACAGCUUCAGCACUCUGUGGAUCAGGUCCACAAUACUCUUCGUGAUCACCACCAGAUUAUCAUUGGGUUGCGCAUGGAUUUUCAGGUGCAUCGGGAUUAUUCUCAAGCGACUUUCGAAUAGCUCAACGCUCGCCAACUCGAUAUUCAGCAGUCAGUUGCACCACUGCAAAUUAAUUUUUAUACAUAUCGAGCGUCAAGCCAACAACAGUUUGACCAGCUCAGUGCCUAGGUUCAGGACGAAGCAUUCGAGACACGGUCAUUGAUGACCACCUUAUUUGCCCAGCAUUUCCCCCCAUCGCCACCACCGGAUUUUCAAUAGCACUAGGCUAUCAUUUUCUUUGUCUCUUUUAGUUUUAUAUUUUCCUUUUAGUUGUUUCUCUUUCUAACAAAAAAAAAAAAGAAGGUGUGUGUGUGUGUUACUAUUUGCCUACCUGGAUGUGCACCUAUAAUCUUUGGUAAUAUUCUCUCUUUCUUAUUUACUUCGCAUUUGCUUUCAUUGAGGACAAUGUCAUAUUCAAGUUUGGAGAUAAGGGUAUUUUGUUUUGUGCA